rnacentral:rRNA from 1 species
CCUACGGGUGGCAGCAGUGGGGAAUAUUGGGCAAUGGGCGCAAGCUUGACCCAGCAACGCCGCGUGAAGGAAGAAGGCUUUCGGGUUGUAAACUUCUUUUAAGCGGGAAGAGCAGAAGACGGUACCUCUUGAAUAAGCCACGGCUAACUACGUGCCAGCAGCCGCGGUAAUCAGUAGGUGGCAAGCGGUGUCCGGAUUUACUGGGUGGAAAUGGCGUGCAGCCGGGAAGACAAGUCAGAUGUGAAAUCCCGUGGCUCAACCGCGGAACUGCAUUUGAAACUGUUUUUCUUGAGUAUCGGAGAGGUCAGCGGAAUUCCUUGUGUAGCGGUGAAAUGCGUAGAGAUAAGGAGGAACACCAGUGGCGAAGGCGGAUGACUGGACGGCAACUGACGGUGAGGCGCGAAAGCGUGGGGAGCAAACAGGAUUAGAUACCCGGGUAGUC